GGGGCGGCUGGGGGGCCGAGCCCACUGUGAGGCGUGGUGUGGCUGGUCACGUGAUGUCGUUUGACUGUUUACACGAGGCGCGGGCCGAGCGCUUGGCCUCAGUCAGUCAGGCGCUAGGCAGCCUUUCGGUU
rnacentral:lncRNA from 1 species